rnacentral:rRNA from 1 species
AUACCCCACUAUGCUUAGCCCUAAACAUAAAUACUCAAAUAACAAGAGUAUUCGCCAGAGAACUACUAGCUACUGCUUAAAACUCAAAGGACUUGGCGGUGCUUUAUACCCCUCUAGAGGAGCCUGUUCUAUAAUCGAUAAACCCCGUUAAACCUCACCACUCUUUGCAAUGUCAGCCUAUAUACCGCCAUCUUCAGCAAACCCUAACAAGGCAUCGCAGUAAGCACAAGAAUUCUGCAUAAAAACGUUAGGUCAAGGUGUAGCCUAUAGAGUGGGAAGAAAUGGGCUACAUUUUCUAAUUUCUUUAGAACAUUUCACGAUAGCUGUCAUGAAACAUGACCAGCCCAAGGAGGAUUUAGUAGUAAGUUGGGAAUAGAGUGCCCAGCUGAAUUGGGCAAUAAAGCACGCACACACCG